rnacentral:rRNA from 1 species
AAUUGACGGGACCGCACAAGCGGUGGAUGAUGUGGUUUAAUUCGAUGCAACGCGAAAACCUUACCCACCUUUGACAUGUACGGAAUCCUUUAGAGAUAGAGGAGUGCUCGAAAGAGAGCCGUAACACAGGUGCUGCAUGGCUGUCGUCAGCUCGUGUCGUGAGAUGUUGGGUUAAGUCCCGCAACGAGCGCAACCCUUGUCAUUAGUUGCUACAUUCAGUUGGGGCACUCUAAUGAGACUGCCGGUGACAAACCGGAGGAAGGUGGGGAUGACGUCAAGUCCUCAUGGCCCUUAUAGGUGGGGCUACACACGUCAUACAAUGGAUGGUACAAAGGGUCGCCAACCCGCGAGGGGGAGCCAAUCCCAUAAAGCCAUUCGUAGUCCGGAUCGCAGUCUGCAACUCGACUGCGUGAAGUCGGAAUCGCUAGUAAUCGUGGAUCAGAAUGUCACGGUGAAUACGCUCCCGGGUCUU